GCGGUAUCCUAACCGUGCGAAGGUAGCGUAAUCACUUGUUCUUUAAAUGCGGACUAGUAUGAAUGGCAUCACGAAGGUUAUACUGUCUCCCUUUUCUAAUCAGUGAAACUAAUCUCCCCGUGAAGAAGCGAGGAUAAAACUAUAAGACGAGAAGACCCUAUGGAGCUUUAAACAUUAUAGCACUUGCCACAUAAAACAUAAACUUCAGAAUUAUUAAUUCUUCAGGCAACUUGACUAUAAGUUUUUGGUUGGGGUGACCGCGGAGCAUAAUAUAACCUCCAUGUUGAAAGAUUAAUUUCUAAGCUAAGAGCUACACCUCUAAGCAUCAACAUAUUGACAUUCAUUGACCCAAUAUAUUUGAACAACGAACCAAGUUACCCUAGGGAUAACAGCGCAAUCCACUUCAAGAGCUCCUAUCGACAAGUGGGUUUACGACCUCGAUGUUGGAUCAGGGUUUCCC
rnacentral:rRNA from 1 species